UUAUACGACUAAAAGUAGAUUUAUUCGAACUUUCCUUUGACCAACAGAAACAGUACCGUAAGGGAAAAUUGAAAUAAACUUAAAAUUAAUACUCAAAACAAGAGAGAUUACCCCCUUUACCUUGUGUAUAAUGGAUUAACAAGACUUUAAGAAAAACUAUUCUUAUCCCGAAAUUAGGCGAGCUAACCCUAUCUUCUCUACAGGAGAAAUUAUUUACUGUUACAAUAGUAAAGAAAAAGGUACGGUUAGAUGUGACAUGCUUAUCGCGCUUAAAUAUAGCUGGUUCCUCAAGAAAUUAGUCUGAGCUAAGCCAUUUUUUAAAAACCCCUGUCUUUUUUAUUAAUUUUAAAAAUAGAAUCCAAGAAUUUUAAUAGAAAUGGUUAGGGCCCCAAGGAUAAGCUUAGGGCCCUAAACGGAAAAACCCGACUUUUUUAGUUAAGGACAAUAAUGAUAAAAAAUAGCUACCCACAAAACAAGUAGGCCUAGAAGCAGCCACCUAAAGAGAAAGCGUUAAAGCUCAAUUUUUUACCAAAGCUAAAAAAUUCAUGAUAAUUUUACUCCGAAACUAACCCCUUCAUUGAGGCCUUUUGUACUCAAAAGAGACUCUGUUAAUAUAAGUAAGACAAACUUCACUUGAUUUUUAAACGGCCCUAACCUUGAAAGAAAAAUACUAACCCCCAGAAACUUUAUUUUUCCUCCCGUCUUCCAACUCAGGAGAAGAAAAAAACAAACAAAAGAAAAGAAGGAACUCGGCAAAUAAUAGUUUCGCCUGUUUACCAAAAACAUCGCUCUCCGUCCUACUUAUAUGGAGAGUCCUGCCUGCCCAGUGACCAAGGUUAAACGGCCGCGGUAUCUUGACCGUGCGAAGGUAGCAUAAUCAUUUGUCUCCUAAAUAGAGACUGGUAUGAAUGGCAAGACGGAACUCAACUGUCUCCUUUUCUUUACUCAGAACUUCACAUUCCCGUGAAGAGGCGGGAAUGAAUUCGUUAGACGAGAAGACCCUGUCGAGCUUAAGCUAACCCAUAACUUUUAUUUUAUUAUUAGACCCUUGCUAACACAUAACGCUACAAGAGCCUUAAUCAUAAAAGCCUAUGGUAAACUUUGGUUGGGGCAACCGCGGAGAAAAACGAACCUCCGUUAUUUUUAUAAAAACUAUAUUAAGGGACACAACCCUAAAAUUAUUUAUUAUAAGAGCAUGAUCCACUAAGGUGAUCAAAGGAACAAGUUACCGCAGGGAUAACAGCGUUAUCUUUUCUGAGAGUUCACAUUGACGAAAAGGUUUGCGACCUCGAUGUUGGAUCGGGACAUCCUAAGGGUGCAGAAGCUUUUAAGGGUUGGUCUGUUCGACCAUUAAAGUCCUACGUGAUCUGAGUUCAGACCGGCGAAAGCCAGGUCAGUUUCUAUCUACGAACCUUAUUUUCUUUCUUAGUACGAAAGGACCAGAAAGAAAGUGUCCAUGCUGAAGAUGUAAACACUUAAAUUAAAAACAUGCAACUAAGACGAUGACUAUUUUCUACUAACCACAAGGACAUUGGGACCCUUUAUUUAAUUUUCGGCGCCUGAGCGGGCAUGGUCGGGACG
rnacentral:rRNA from 1 species